GCAUAGUCUUUUACAGUAAAGCAGGGGAUCGAAAGACCUUGCGCUUGAGGAGCGGCCGAUGUCUGAUUAGCUAGUUGGUGGGGUAAAGGCCUACCAAGGCGACGAUCAGUAGUUGGUCUGAGAGGACGACCAACCACACUGGGACUGAGACACGGCCCAGACUCCUACGGGAGGCAGCAGUGGGGAAUUUUGGACAAUGGGCGAAAGCCUGAUCCAGCCAUGCCGCGUGAGUGAAGAAGGCCUUCGGGUUGUAAAGCUCUUUCAGUCGGAAAGAAACGAUUGCAACUAAUAAUUGUAAUUAAUGACGGUACCGACAGAAGAAGCACCGGCUAACUACGUGCCAGCAGCCGCGGUAAUACGUAGGGUGCGAGCGUUAAUCGGAAUUACUGGGCGUAAAGGGUGCGCAGGCGGUUUUGUAAGUCAGAUGUGAAAUCCCCGGGCUUAACCUGGGAAUGGCGUUUGAAAUCA
rnacentral:rRNA from 1 species